rnacentral:rRNA from 1 species
CGUAUCACCCAAGACAACUUUACGGAGUUGACGAUUGACGGAGCGAAGCGACGUCAAAGCGUUCAUUAAAGUCGAGUUGGCUUAGGGAUACGUUCGUUGGGUAGGGGAGCGUUCUGUAAGCCUGUGAAGGUGUGUCGUGAGGCAUGCUGGAGGUAUCAGAAGUGCGAAUGCUGACAUAAGUAACGAUAAAGCGGGUGAAAAGCCCGCUCGCCGGAAGACCAAGGGUUCCUGUCCAACGUUAAUCGGGGCAGGGUGAGUCGACCCCUAAGGCGAGGCCGAAAGGCGUAGUCGAUGGGAAACGGGUUAAUAUUCCCGUACUUGGUGUUACUGCGAAGGGGGGACGGAGAAGGCUAUGUUGGCCGGGCGACGGUUGUCCCGGUUUAAGGGUGUAGGUGUGUGUUCCAGGUAAAUCCGGUUCACUUUAACACUGAGGCGUGACGACGAGGCACUACGGUGCUGAAGCAACAAAUGCCCUGCUUCCAGGAAAAGCCUCUAAGCAUCAGGUAACACGAAAUCGUACCCCAAACCGACACAGGUGGUCAGGUAGAGAAUACCAAGGCGCUUGAGAGAACUCGGGUGAAGGAACUAGGCAAAAUGGUGCCGUAACUUCGGGAGAAGGCACGCUGACACGUAGGUGAAGUGAUUUACUCAUGGAG